GAUGAAGAACGUAGCGAAAUGCGAUAAGUAAUGUGAAUUGCAGAAUUCAGUGAAUCAUCGAAUCUUUGAACGCACAUUGCGCCCCCUGGUAUUCCGGGGGGCAUGCCUGUUCGAGCGUCAUUUGUACCUUCAAGCUUUGCUUGGUGUUGGGUGUUUGUCUCGCCUUUGCGUGUAGACUCGCCUUAAAAUAAUUGGCAGCCGGCGUAUUGAUUUCGGAGCGCAGUACAUCUCGCGCUUUGCACUCAUAACGACAGCGUCCAAAAGUACAUUUUACACUCUUGACCUCGGAUCAGGUAGGGAUACCCGCUGAACUUAAGCAUAUCAAUAAGCGGAGGA
rnacentral:misc_RNA from 1 species